rnacentral:rRNA from 1 species
GACGAACGCUGGCGGCGUGCUUAACACAUGCAAGUCGAACGGAAAGGCCCUGCUUUUGUGGGGUGCUCGAGUGGCGAACGGGUGAGUAACACGUGAGUAACCUGCCCUUGACUUUGGGAUAACUUCAGGAAACUGGGGCUAAUACCGGAUAGGAGCUCCUGCUGCAUGGUGGGGGUUGGAAAGUUUCGGCGGUUGGGGAUGGACUCGCGGCUUAUCAGCUUGUUGGUGGGGGAGGGGCUUACCAAGGCUUUGAAGGGUAGGCGGCCUGGGAGGGUGAACGGCGACAUGGGGCCUGCGGGGCGGCCCAGACUCCUACGGGAGGCAGCAGUGGGGAAUAUUGCACAAUGGGCGGAAGCCUGAUGCAACAACGCCGCGUGCGUGAUGACGGCCUUCGGGUUGUAAACCGCUUUCGCCUGUGACGAAGCGUGAGUGACGGUAAUGGGUAAAGAAGCACCGGCUAACUACGUG